CGGCCACGGCUCCAGCCUUAGCAUAGGCCUGCAGCUCCUGACCCGUCAGCUUGGCCACAAACUAGACGAGAGCAGAGGUGAGUUAAACGGAGAGGAGGGAAGGAAAGGGACCGUUUCAGUUUAUUGGGACAGGAAGUGACCACAUUGAUUGACGUUGACCAUCCUACCAGAGCCAUGAGGGCGGCCCCGACUCCAAUUAGAGGGCUGGCUGCGAUGAUGACGAGCGUUAACUUCCAUCCCUUCACAAAGCCCAUUGCAAAACCGCACACGAAGGUGGUGAAGCGCUGGAUAAAGAUGCUCACUUGAUCCGCAAUGGCGUCAUUGAUCUUGUUGAUGUCACUGUGAAAUAGCGGAGUCACCACAGACAGAGACAUGAGAGUCAUUAGCGUUUUUUCAGGUCAGGUCAAAUUCAAGAACAACUACAGAUAUAUAUUCUUAAUUUGGGCCAGUUUUCUAAAGCAGAAAAAUAAUCCUGCAGCAACAGGAAAUGUGAAUUAUUAUGUGGACCAUAAUUAAUGGACAUUUUUGUAGGAAUUAAUACAUGUUUUGUUAGGGCAAAUAAAGUCUGAAAUUUCAACGCCCAACCAGGGAACAAAAUUAUUGGAUCCGAGUACCUGUAUACUUUAUAGAACUGCAGAAUUUCCCUAACAGUUCUUUUUAAAACUCAAAUACACUACAAUUAUAUAUUUCCUGCUGUGCAGGAAAAUUCUCAGCAACUAAAGAGUGAUCAAAUUAAGAUCCUACAUCUGUACUGGUCCUAAGCAUGUUAGGAAAUGCAAAUGUUCCCAGAAAUGUUUCUAUUAAAACUAAACAGGGGAAUUUGGUCUGUGUUUUUCUCUUACUCUGACAUGCGUGUGUUUAACUCUCCAGUCGAGUUGCAGUCGAACCAGCCGAUCUCCAUCCUCAUCACCUUCCUGAAGUACAUCUUUCUGAUGAUCUGGAUCUGUCGCGCUGCAGACGUCACCCACAACGAGAUCUAAAAGAGAAAUAAGGCAUUCAAAGCAAUCAAGAUCUAGAGCUCUGUCAUCAAACUGCUUGAACUCAGUAUGUUGAUGCCAACGAUAUACUUACUUGAAGGUAUCCUAGCAAGAAAACUGCGCAUCCAAUGGCAACGUAAUAGUAAGCAAAAUUGGUCAUCUCAUACUCAAUGUCCAGAAGCCUGAAAAUGAGUGUCAUACAGAUGUAGGAUCUUAAUUUCAGCCAGUUUGCUCCAGCAGGAAAAUAAUCCUGCAGUUACAGGGAAUGUGAAUUAUUAUGUGGAUUCUAAUUAAUUGAUAUUUUUGUAGGGGUUGUUACAUUUUAUGUAAGGGAAAAUCAAG